GACGAACGCUGGCGGCGUGCCUAAUACAUGCAAGUCGAGCGAAUCAAGAGGAGCUUGCUCCUCUUGGUUAGCGGCGGACGGGUGAGUAACACGUGGGCAACCUGCCUGUAAGACUGGGAUAACUUCGGGAAACCGGAGCUAAUACCGGAUAAUUCUUUCUCUCUCAUGAGGGAAAGCUGAAAGACGGUUUCGGCUGUCACUUACAGAUGGGCCCGCGGCGCAUUAGCUAGUUGGUGAGGUAACGGCUCACCAAGGCGCCGAGGCGUAGCCGACCUGAGAGGGUGAUCGGCCACACUGGGACUGAGACACGGCCCAGACUCCUACGGGAGACAGCAGUAGGGAAUCUUCCGCAAUGGACGAAAGUCUGACGGAGCAACGCCGCGUGAGCGAUGAAGGCCUUCGGGUCGUAAAGCUCUGUUGUUAGGGAAGAACAAGUAUCGGAGUAACUGCCGGUACCUUGACGGUACCUAACCAGAAAGCCACGGCUAACUACGUGCCAGCCGCCGCCGUAAGAC
rnacentral:rRNA from 1 species